AGUGAACGCUGGCGGUAGGCCUAACACAUGCAAGUCGAACGGCAGCACAGUAAGAGCUUGCUCUUACGGGUGGCGAGUGGCGGACGGGUGAGGAAUACAUCGGAAUCUACUUUUUCGUGGGGGAUAACGUAGGGAAACUUACGCUAAUACCGCAUACGACCUACGGGUGAAAGCAGGGGACCUUCGGACCUUGCGCGAUUGAAUGAGCCGAUGUCGGAUUAGCUAGUUGGCGGGGUAAAGGCCCACCAAGGCGACGAUCCGUAGCUGGUCUGAGAGGAUGGUCAGCCACACUGGAACUGAGACACGGUCCAGACUCCUACGGGAGGCAGCAGUGGGGAAUAUUGGACAAUGGGCGCAAGCCUGAUCCAGCCAUACCGCGUGUGUGAAGAAGGCCUUCGGGUUGUAAAGCCCUUUUGUUGGGAAAGAAAAGCAGCAGGUUAAUACCCCGCUGUUCUGACGGUACCCAAAGAAUAAGCACCGGCUAACUUCGUG
rnacentral:rRNA from 1 species